rnacentral:rRNA from 1 species
UACGUAGGGUGCAAGCGUUAAUCGGAAUUACUGGGCGUAAAGCGUGCGCAGGCGGUUGUGCAAGACAGAUGUGAAAUCCCCGGGCUCAACCUGGGAACUGCAUUUGUGACUGCACGGCUAGAGUGUGUCAGAGGGGGGUAGAAUUCUACGUGUAGCAGUGAAAUGCGUAGAGAUGUGGAGGAAUACCGAUGGCGAAGGCAGCCCCCUGGGAUAACACUGACGCUCAUGCACGAAAGCGUGGGGAGCAAACAGG